GAAGCUUAAAUUUAUACAACUGAAAGAGAAUUUCUAGACCUGAAAAUUAUCUCACAUUUACAAAUGCACGGACAUGGCACUCACAAAUACCUACCCAGAAUAAUCUAAAGUACAGCAUAACAUUUAUUUUCCACAUGAUUCUGAAAAAGAAUAUCACAGAGGCACUUGUAUGAAUACAACAGUGAAAGCAGGUGAACAGAAGAGGAGGCAACAGGGAAGGAAAUUCUGGAUUCAGCCCCCCACCCACCCCCACUUGAGAUUAACCAGAAUAAUCACUAGCAUUCAAGUUUCAGAGAAGGCACCAA
rnacentral:lncRNA from 1 species